rnacentral:rRNA from 1 species
UACGUAGGGUGCGAGCGUUGUCCGGAAUUAUUGGGCGUAAAGAGCUUGUAGGCGGUUUGUCGCGUCUGCUGUGAAAAUCCGGGGCUCAACCCCGGACUUGCAGUGGGUACGGGCAGACUAGAGUGUGGUAGGGGAGACUGGAAUUCCUGGUGUAGCGGUGAAAUGCGCAGAUAUCAGGAGGAACACCGAUGGCGAAGGCACUUUACUGGGCUAUUACUAACACUCAGAGACGAAAGCUAGGGUAGCAAAUGGG